rnacentral:pre_miRNA from 1 species
CGGAAGGUUCGGAUGAAGCAGAUCAAGAACCCAGUGCACCCACAGGUCACCUUUCGUGAGCUUGCCAUGGGGAGGCAGAAAAUGAAGAAGCCAGUGUCCGGGAAGAGCUCCUUGGCCUUCUUGAGGAGCCCCAUGCGGGUUCACCAGGGUUCUCGUUCCGCUUCAUCUGAACCUUUCCG